rnacentral:rRNA from 1 species
AGAGUUUGAUCAUGGCUCAGAUUGAACGCUGGCGGCGUGCCUAACACAUGCAAGUCGAGCGGUAACAGGUGUAGCAAUACAUGCUGACGAGCGGCGAACGGGUGAGUAAUGCUUCGGAAUCUACCCUAUAGUGGGGAAUAACUAGCCGAAAGGUUAGCUAAUACCGCAUAAGUCCUACGGGAGAAAGCAGGGGAUCGCAAGACCUUGCGCUGAUGGAUGAGCCGAAGUCGGAUUAGCUAGUUGGUGGGGUAACGGCUCACCAAGGCGACGAUCCGUAGCUGGUCUGAGAGGACGACCAGCCACACUGGAACUGAGACACGGUCCAGACUCCUACGGGAGGCAGCAGUGGGGAAUAUUGGACAAUGGGGGAAACCCUGAUCCAGCGACGCCGCGUGUGUGAAGAAGGCCUGCGGGUUGUAAAGCACUUUUAGUGGGGAUGAAAUGUGCAGGGUUAAUACCUCUGCAUUUUGACCUAACCCACAGAAAAAGCACCGGCUAACUCUGUGCCAGCAGCCGCGGUAAUACAGAGGGUGCAAGCGUUAAUCGGAAUUACUGGGCGUAAAGCGUGCGCAGAUGGUUGCGUAAGUCAGAUGUGAAAGCCCCGGGCUCAACCUGGGAAUUGCAUUUGAGACUGCGUAGCUAGGGUGCGGAAGAGGGAAGCGGAAUUUCCGGUGUAGCGGUGAAAUGCGUAGAUAUCGGAAGGAACACCAGUGGCGAAAGCGGCUUCCUGGUCCAGCACCGACAUUCAGGCACGAAAGCGUGGGGAGCAAACAGGAUUAGAUACCCCCGUAGUCC